rnacentral:rRNA from 1 species
UACGAAGGGGGCUAGCGUUGUUCAGAAUUACUGGGCGUAAAGCGCACGUAGGCGGAUAUUUAAGUCAGGGGUGAAAUCCCAGAGCUCAACUCUGGAACUGCCUUUGAUACUGGGUAUCUUGAGUAUGGAAGAGGUGAGUGGAAUUCCGAGUGUAGAGGUGAAAUUCGUAGAUAUUCGGAGGAACACCAGUGGCGAAGGCGGCUCACUGGUCCAUUACUGACGCUGAGGUGCGAAAGCGUGGGGAGCAAACAGG